UACAGAGGUCUCGAGCGUUAGGCGGAAUCACUGGGCUUAAAGCGUGUGUAGGUGGAUGCCUAAGUACCUUGUGAAAUCCCACGGCUUAACCGUGGAACUGCUUGGUAUACUGGGUGUCUUGAGUCACUCAGGGGCGAGCGGAACAAAUGGUGGAGCGGUGAAAUGCGUAGAUAUCAUUUGGAACGCCAAUGGUGAAAACAGCUCGCUGGGGGUGCACUGACACUGAGACACGAAGGCCAGGGGAGCGAACGGG
rnacentral:rRNA from 1 species